CGUUGAAUGACGUGCUCGCACUGAUUUCAACAAUGAAGCGAGUGGCGAACUGGUGAGUAACACGUGGGGAAUCUGCCCAGAAGCAGGGGAUAACACUUGGAAACAGGUGCUAAUACCGUAUAACAACAAAAUCCGCAUGGAUUUUGUUUGAAAGGUGGCUUCGGCUAUCACUUCUGGAUGAUCCCGCGGCGUAUUAGUUAGUUGGUGAGGUAAAGGCCCACCAAGACGAUGAUACGUAGCCGACCUGAGAGGGUAAUCGGCCACAUUGGGACUGAGACACGGCCCAAACUCCUACGGGAGGCAGCAGUAGGGAAUCUUCCACAAUGGACGAAAGUCUGAUGGAGCAAUGCCGCGUGAGUGAAGAAGGGUUUCGGCUCGUAAAACUCUGUUGUUAAAGAAGAACACCUUUGAGAGUAACUGUUCAAGGGUUGACGGUAUUUAACCAGAAAGCCACGGCUAACUACGUGCCAGCAGCCGCGGUAAUACGUAGGUGGCAAGCGUUGUCCGGAUUUAUUGGGCGUAAAGCGAGCGCAGGCGGUUUUUUAAGUCUGAUGUGAAAGCCUUCGGCUUAACCGGAGAAGUGCAUCGGAAACUGAGAGACUUGAGUGCAGAAGAGGACAGUGGAACUCCAUGUGUAGCGGUGGAAUGCGUAGAUAUAUGGAAGAACACCAGUGGCGAAAGCGCUGUCUAGUCUGUAACUGACGCUGAGGCUCGAAAGCAUGGUAGCGAACAGGAUUAGAUACCCUGGUAGUCCAUGCGUAAACGAUGAGUGCUAGUGUGAGGGUUUCGCCCUCAGUGCUGCAGCUACGCAUAGCACUUCGGCUGGGAGUACGACGCAG
rnacentral:rRNA from 2 species